UACGUAGGGGGCAAGCGUUGUCCGGAAUCAUUGGGCGUAAAGGGCGCGUAGGCGGCUGCACAAGUCAAAGGUGAAAUCCCUCGGCUCAACUGAGGAACUGCCUUUGAAACUGUGCGGCUUGAGGCCGGGAGGGGGUAGCGGAAUUCCCAGUGUAGCGGUGAAAUGCGUAGAUAUUGGGAGGAACACCAGUGGCGAAGGCGGCUACCUGGACCGGUUCUGACGCUGAGGCGCGAAAGCGUGGGGAGCGAACAGG
rnacentral:rRNA from 1 species